UACGUAGGGAGCAAGCGUUGUUCGGAUUUACUGGGCGUAAAGGGCGCGUAGGCGGCGCGGUAUGUCACUUGUGAAAUCUCUGAGCUUAACUCAGAACGGCCAAGUGAUACUGCAGUGCUAGAGUGCAGAAGGGGCAAUCGGAAUUCUUGGUGUAGCGGUGAAAUGCGUAGAUAUCAAGAGGAACACCUGAGGUGAAGACGGGUUGCUGGGCUGACACUGACGCUGAAGCGCGAAAGCCAGGGGAGCAAACGGG
rnacentral:rRNA from 1 species